CACUCCUGCGGGAGGCAGCAGUGGGGAAUAUUGCACAAUGGGCGCAAGCCUGAUGCAGCCAUGCCGCGUGUAUGAAGAAGGCCUUCGGGUUGUAAAGUACUUUCAGCGGGGAGGAAGGCGAUAAGGUUAAUAACCUUGUCGAUUGACGUUACCCGCAGAAGAAGCACCGGCUAACUCCGUGCCAGCAGCCGCGGUAAUACGGAGGGUGCAAGCGUUAAUCGGAAUUACUGGGCGUAAAGCGCACGCAGGCGGUCUGUCAAGUCGGAUGUGAAAUCCCCGGGCUCAACCUGGGAACUGCAUUCGAAACUGGCAGGCUAGAGUCUUGUAGAGGGGGGUAGAAUUCCAGGUGUAGCGGUGAAAUGCGUAGAGAUCUGGAGGAAUACCGGUGGCGAAGGCGGCCCCCUGGACAAAGACUGACGCUCAGGUGCGAAAGCGUGGGGAGCAAACAGGAUUAGAUACCCCUGUAGUCC
rnacentral:rRNA from 1 species